rnacentral:sRNA from 1 species
UUUAAUAAAGAUGGAGAAACAAAGAAAUAUAUCUAAUAAAAAAAUUGUAAAAAAUGUAAUUUUCAAAAGGGGGUUAAGCAACUUGUCAUCAAUCAUGAGGAUCCAAGUUCUAUCCCAUGUGGUAGGAGGACAAACUCCCCACUCAUUGUCCUCUGACCUCCAUAUACUCACACUGACACAUAUAGACAUUUGCACACAGAAUAUACUAAUUAAUUAAUUAAUUAAUUAAUUAAAGGUGUUUCAAACCAUCUGUUCUUGGCCUUAGCUCACUUCUGUCUCUGGAUUACACAGCUCUCUUCCCCACAUCUGCCUUUCUUUCUCUCAUGCCUGUCAUGCUUGCAUGUGCAUUUAUCCUCCCGUAGUGUCCAUGUUUAAAUCUGUAUUCACUACAGCUCUGGUGACUAGAUAGAUGGUUCCCAGGUUAAAAGAACUUGCGGUGCGAUCAUGAGGCCUACAGUCCAAAUCCCAGCAUCCUGCAAACACCAGACACUACAGCUGCCAGGAAUCAGACAACAUCCUCUUGGGCAGAAAUAACACAAUACUGUCAGUAAUUUGGAGUAAAACACACUUACAAAUAUAUGGCAAAAAUGCAAAACUUUGUCCUUUUAAAAUGUAGCUCACAAAAGAAUUAGCACCUGGGUCAUGAAUCAAAAGAAAGUAAAAAUCAUGGUUCCUUUUAUACCAUGUGAGCCAACCAAGUAUUGUUAUCUCUGUAAACCUGUUCCUUUCUCAGUACGCUGAAUUUAAAUAGACCUUUGGAAUAUUAAAUGGGAAACGACUUAGCAAAGAGUCUUGUAGCAUAGGGCAUACAUAGGAAUUUACCAAUUAUUAUUAAAUUUUGGAAUAAAUGUUAAAAAACAAGUAGUCUUUCAUGUUCGUUUUUAAGUAUCAGUCACAAGACUUACAAUCCUAUGACUUAAGGUUGAGACUGAUAUAUAAAAGGAAUUACAAAACACCAUUUGCAAGGACAAAUGCUAAGUAAAAAUACACUCCAACUUGAGAACCAGAAUACAACAUGUAGGAAAGCUCCUUGUACAAAAUGGUAGAAAGCAUCACAUUAAAGAUAAUAAGACACCUCUCCUUCCUGAACACUACAAGAAACAGAAUUCCCUAAGAUCUUCUAGGCUUUUCCUGUCAGGAAAAAGGAAGCCCCAGUUAGUUCUCUUGUCACCACAAUUGUAUUUCCAGUAGAACAUCAAAGCAAAACGUAGGAAAGGCAUCUGUACCUUUCUCAUUCUCAGGAAAUCACUUUUAUCUUAUUCUAGGCUUACUGAUAGACUACUUAGAAAGUCAAACAAAUUUUGGUAGGCCACAAAAUUUCAUUCAAAAAAAUAUAUAAAAAUGAAUUCUAUAAAAAAUUCAAUAGAAAAUGUUGUAAGAACACAAACAACGGUAACACACCUUUAAUCCCAGCACUCUGGAGACAGAGGUAGGUAGGCAGAUCACUUGACUUUGAAACCAGGCUAAUUUAUAGACUACUCAGGAAAUGCCAAAAAACCCAGCCUCCAAUAAGAGAGAGGGGUUGGGGGGAAGAAAGGGAGGGAGAGAGAAAGAAGAAACAAUUUUAUUUAAAAAGUUUGGAUUAUUUGUUUAUAUGUUUCUUUGUUCAUUUUUAAGGUUGAGGAAGAUGCUCAAUAAGUAAAGUGCCUGCUCUGCAAACAGGAGGACCUAAGUUCAGAUCCUUAUCUACAUCCACUCUGGCGCAGUGCUGCACAUUUCUUUCUAAGUCCAACACAUUGUAUGAUAAGAAACAGAUGCUAGGAGGCAGCCAGUCCAGCCAAAAUGGGAAGCUCCAGGUUCAGGGAGAAAUUUUGACUCAAAAAUUAAGGUAGAGAGCAACUGGAAGACACUGAACAUAGACCCUGGCCUCUUCACAAAGCAUAGAAAACUCAGACCUGUGAUCUUUAACAUGUAUUGACUCAAGUGCUCACUGUAAUGCUGUGGAGUAAGUAAUACUGUAGUCGUCUUACAUAGCUGAAUAAAAUGAAGCACCAGAAGUCAUUAUCCUAUCCAGGGUCAUGCAGUCAGCAAAUGGUAGCAGGCAGGAUCUAGAUUCAAGAUGUCAAAAGGUCAAAUCAACUACAGCAUUCCCUUAGAAAUUUUUACAAAGAGCCUAUUAGGUACUAGGCACAGUUCUAAGUACCAAGGAUAAAUUUAUGAACAAAUCAAAAGCGAUUCUACUCUGUUGUUAGGAAGAGAGAGAGUCAAAGAGUGUAAUGGGAAUAAUUAACAAGUGGAAAGUGUAUCUGAUAAUAAAUACAAAAGAGUAAAAGAAAAAAUAUUUAAUUUAGGAAGGAGGAGAAGCUCCCUCAAGUAAAGAACAGCAAUAGAAGACAAGAACAACUGUCACCAGCCAGAAGAGGUGUCCAGUCUAUCUGCCUGGGUAGCAUCCUGAAGUCCAAUAGCGAGAGUCAUGGGGGACACUUACUUGUCUUGGUUAAUAUGACUCUUUUUGACCUGUGUCAGCUCUUUGAAAGUCUGUCCAAAGUGAGCAGUGGGGUGAACAAUGGCGGCAGCAUCUUUAGGUAUCUGGAUCCAACCAUCAGGAGCUCUAAGCACUGACCCGCAAUGGCUGCCUGCCUCAGUUUGCACACCAGAUGGAUGCCAGUGCUGGUCUCUGUCAGGAAAGUACACAGAUUUCCUAAUGGUGCUUUCAACAUUAGUUCCUAUUAGAGUAUGUAACUGAAGAGGUAUCAGAGAUAACUCUUAUGUUUCUUUAACGUGAUAGAUGUUCCUCAUAUUUUUCUAAAUUUAGAAAUAUCUUGAACAUUGUGCCAUGUAAAGUAUUGAUUAUCGUUCAUGUGCAUGUUUUAACUUCUGCGAUUUAUUUAUUGACUUUUAAAGCUUCUAAUUUCAACACUAACUUCCAAACGGCAACAGAAGAAAAGUAAAACAACAUUAGUGGCAGAAGAAUAAUUUGGAUCAUGUGCGUUGGAAUAGAGGUACUGAACAGAACCACUCGAGUGGGAAGGGCCCAGGUCACCAUCAAGGAGACUAAAGCUGGGGUAGGAAGAGCAUGAGACGGUCUCAGAGGUAUUGGGCCUGUACUGGGAAGAUCUUUUCAGAUACCCCUGGAAUGCUCUGAACUCACAGGCGGGGGAUUUACAAGUGGGACUCUUUAUCCUGGUAGCUAGAUGUGGAAAUGGCACUUCCAAGUCCUAUUUGGGGAUGGCUUGCCCAGGGAGCUUGGCUCAGUGGAGUGUAGAAUGAAUGCCAACAUUAACAAUACUUCUGGUCCAAGUGCAAAUGUCUCCAUCAAGUUCUCAAAAAAUCCUUUUAUGGUCCAUCUGUUUGGACACACCCUGGUUCCAAACCUUGUUUUGCCUCAGGACCCACAUUCUUAGAAACUUGCUAGCUUGCUGAAGACUUGGCCUGCUUCUGCCUUCUGUUCUGCAACACUGACUGGAUGCUAAGAUUCAUUCUUUGGCUCUGUGACACUUGAGCCUUUGCAAAAUAUAUUAUGUUUAUUCACGCCCCCCU